UACGUAGGAGGCAAGCGUUGUCCGGAGUUACUGGGCGUAAAGCGCACGCAGGCGGUCUUGUCAGUCUGUAGGGACAGGGCACAGCUCAACUGUGUCAGGCUUAUGGAAACUGCAAGACUUUGAGGGCUUCAGAGGGAUGGGGGAAUUCCGGGGUGGAGUGGGUGAGAUGCGUAGAGAUCCGGAAGAACACCAAAGGCGAAGGCACCAUCCUGGGGGAGUCACUGACGCUCGGGUGCGAAAGCUAGGGGGAGCGAAACGGGGAUUAGGAAACCU
rnacentral:rRNA from 1 species